rnacentral:lncRNA from 1 species
GCGGAGGCUCAGUCAGUGUUGGUCCUCCCAUCCCUGGUCCCCGCCUGUUCCCACUGCUCCUCUUCAUUCCCCGGAGGUGCACCUGCCUCUGGUGUCCGUCCUGACUUUGCCAACACGGGGUAGGUCUGGAAAAAGUACUUGACUUUUCUAAGCCAGUGUCUUUAUUCGUGAAAUGCCCCUGCUGUUCAUCUCUCAGGGGCGCCUCAGGGAUGAAACGGAAAAAUGGAGAUGAUGUGGUGGGCACUGCGUUACGGGCCUGGGUGUAAGCCUUGCCAGGUGUCAGAAACCUGCCUUGAAUGCCCUGCCCACCACCCGCACCUACCCAGGCAAGCCCAGACUCAGGAAAGACCUCAGGAGUCACCUUUGGGGAAAGCCUGCCCCAUGCCCCUGGGACGCACCGGGUCUCCUUCCCCUGUGCCUGCUGAAUGGUUGGGCUCCUGCAGGUCUCUCCUGAGGGUCUGUAUCCUUAGCGCCUGUCAAAGCACCGGGUACUCAGGGAAUGUUGCCCAAAAUAAGAAUGAGUGAAGGGAUGAAUUUCCCAGAGGCACUUAGUUUAGGGAAGUAGAGAAAUGGGGAGGGGGGAAUGAAACCACCACUAGGACCGGGGCCCCAGGACUUUUGGGGUUCAUCAAGCAGCAUCCAGAAGAGAAGAGGCCAGAGCCAGCCACUCGGCUCAUUUCAACUCAAGGAUGAAGGGAAAUAUGUAAAGGGGACUUUCAUGCUUCUUUCUGGUUUGACUCAGUCACUUUCCCGAGGUAGGAAAACAGUCUGACUUUAAGAGCUCUCUAGAGAAGACAACUAGGUUUUGGCCACAAUGUUUUCCGUGUCAGCUCAGGGGAAUGCAAACUUGUCAGGCAUCAUACAAUAAAGGGAUUUAGUCCUUCCUUGCUACAUUGCCCCUUAUUAAGGCAAACAUUUUUUCUAGCCAACUCCUAUUCAUUUUUCAAGACCCAAAUCAAAUUGCCCCUUCCCUCCACCCCCAACCAUGAGGCCCUCUGCAUUUCCCAACCCUGCUCAGGCCAAGUUUAGUCCCCACAGGCUUGUAUUCCCCACUGCACUGAAAGCCCCUAGAGAACUAGAAGACAGACACUGGAUUGUUUAGCUUGAAUCCCUGGGCUUUUCCUGGGUUAGGCUAUAGUAGUUGCUUAAUAAAUGUCUGAGUAAAUGGAUGUUGCCUUAUGCCUUUCACGUUCUACUUGAAGGGCACCACAUGGUUCCCCUUCCUUUAGCGUGGCUUUUGCUGAUUUGAUUUUUAAAAGCCCUGUCCUGGCCCUCUGCUUCCUGCAUGUGCCCAUACUCUUGGCCCCUGGUGGAUGCAGGGCUGGGCCCCUCUGAAGUCAGCCCUGGGGUCCCCUGAAUGCACUCCUGUGCGCAGAGGCCUGGAAUGCAUAGCCGGGAUUGAUUUUUGUCUUUCUGAUUUAGGCUGCGAUUGAUUUUCUCAGGCAGAGGCUUUGCACUUAAUGAAGUGAGGGCCGCUUGGCUCUGUCCGAGACAGGAUUACAUGCAAGGACAAUUACCCAUCUGGUGACAGCUUCUCUUUUUUUUUUAAAAAAAACUGUAUAAUGCAAUGAAAAUAACUCAGCUGAUGGGCGCGAUGUGUUAAGAAGUGGUUGUGACGUGGAAGGGGCUACUUGUAAUUUUCCCACCACCUGGGGAAGACUUUGGUAGAAGGAUUGCAUUAUGAUGAUGAUUAUUAUUUUGUAAACUUGGGAGAGAUGUACAGUGAUGAUUGAGAAACAAAAGGAUGAAAUGUUUAACUUAGCAGGAGAAAGUUUAAGAUUUGUUUUCCUUCCAGCUCCACAACGUGGAGAGCUCCACAUUGACUGCAAUCCAUUCCCAGGAUUUAUUUACAGAGCUUCCUUGAGGAGAGGGGACGUAGCAGCUUCUCCGCUUCUGUGACCCUGAGGGCUUCCAGGUGAUCUGUGCUUCCUCCUGGCAUUUCCAGCUGCCCUUCAGAGGGAGCUCAGCUGCUCUGCACCGGAGUUUCAUUAGACCUUCAAGUUGAGAGAUGAAGAAACAGAUGGUCAGAGAAGUCUCCAGCUAUCUGACUCUCAAACUUGUGCUCCUUCCAGUGUCCCUUGGCUGAGGGGACUAGACAUCACCUUAAAAGAGGAACGGAAGAAGCUGGAGCCCGGGGAGCCUGUGGUUGGGUCUCAGCUUCUUGCUACCUCCUGGGUCAGCCCUGGGCUGGGCCCACUCAGCUCUGCUGAGCUGCAGGUUCCUGCUGCAUCCACAGCCAUGAAGUUCUUUGCCCCAGCUGUCCCAUGGUGCCACCCUGGAGGAAAACAAAACAAGAAAGGAGAUGUGCAAAUGUUUCAUAGAGAACAAAUGCUAUCAAAUAAAACAUGGUCUUGUUCCUGGAG